GAUGAACGCUGGCGGCGUGCCUAACACAUGCAAGUCGAGCGGCAGCGAGGGGUGCUUGCACCCUGUCGGCGAGCGGCGGACGGCUGAGUAACGCGUGGGAACGUGCCCCAAAGUGAGGAAUAACUGCCCGAAAGGGUAGCUAAUACCGCAUAUUAUCUUCGGAUCAAAGGAUUUAUCCGCUUUGGGAGCGGCUCGCGUCGGAUUAGGUAGUUGGUGAGGUAAUGGCUCACCAAGCCGACGAUCCGUAGCUGGUCUGAGAGGAUGACCAGCCAGACUGGAACUGGGGCACGGUCCAGACUCCUACGGGAGGCAGCAGUGAGGAAUCUUCCACAAUGGGCGAAAGCCUGAUGGAGCAACGCCGCGUGCAGGACGAAGGCCUUCGGGUUGUAAACUGCUUUUAUAAGUGAGGAAUAUGACGGUAACUUAUGAAUAAGGAUCGGCUAACUACGUG
rnacentral:rRNA from 1 species